AUUGAACGCUGGCGGAAGGCCUAACACAUGCAAGUCGAGCGGAUGAAGGGAGCUUGCUCCUGGAUUCAGCGGCGGUCGGGUGAGUAAUGCCUAGGAAUCUGCCUGGUAGUGGGGGAUAACGUCCGGAAACGGGCGCUAAUACCGCAUACGUCCUGAGGGAGAAAGUGGGGGAUCUUCGGACCUCACGCUAUCAGAUGAGCCUAGGUCGGAUUAGCUAGUUGGUGGGGUAAAGGCCUACCAAGGCGACGAUCCGUAACUGGUCUGAGAGGAUGAUCAGUCACACUGGAACUGAGACACGGUCCAGACUCCUACGGGAGGCAGCAGUGGGGAAUAUUGGACAAUGGGCGAAAGCCUGAUCCAGCCAUGCCGCGUGUGUGAAGAAGGUCUUCGGAUUGUAAAGCACUUUAAGUUGGGAGGAAGGGCAGUAAGUUAAUACCUUGCUGUUUUGACGUUACCAACAGAAUAAGCACCGGCUAACUUCGUG
rnacentral:rRNA from 1 species